GUAGGUGGCAAGCGUUGUCCGGAAUUAUUGGGCGUAAAGCGCGCGCAGGCGGGUUUUUUAAGUCUGAUGUGAAAGCCCACGGGCUCAACCGUGGAGGGUCAUUGGAAACUGGAGAACUUGAGUACAGAAGAGGAAAGCGGAAUUCCACGUGUAGCGGUGAAAUGCGUAGAGAUGUGGAGGAACACCAGUGGCGAAGGCGGCUUUCCGGUCUGUAACUGACGCUGAGGCGCGAAAGCGUGGGGAGCAAACAGGAUUAGAUACCCUGGUAGUCCACGCCGUAAACGAUGAGUGCUAAGUGUUAGGGGGUUUCCGCCCCUUAGUGCUGCAGCUAACGCAUUAAGCACUCCGCCUGGGGAGUACGGCCGCAAAGCCUG
rnacentral:rRNA from 1 species